UCCGGCGGUGUAGACGGCGGUGAC
rnacentral:siRNA from 1 species